rnacentral:ncRNA from 1 species
AUAAAUAAAUUUUUUAUGAUUUAAAUAAUUUUUUAAAAAAUUAUUUUACAUAUAAAUUUUAGUGUUAAUUUUUAAAUAUUUUAAUAAUAUUUAAUUUAAUUAAAUUAGUAAUUAAUAUUAAAAAUUUAAGAAAUUAAGAUUUAGUAAUUUUAAAAUUAAUAACAAAUUUUGUGCCAGCAGUUGCGGUUAUACAAAAAUUAAAUUAAAUUUUAUUAGUAAUAAUAAAUAUUAAAUUAAUUAAUUUAAAUAUUAAAUUAAUAAGUGAAAUUUUAAUUUAAUUAAAAUUUAUUUUAAUUUAUAUGAUUUAAUAAAUUUUAUUAUAAACUAGGAUUAGAUACCCUAUUAUUAAAAAAUUAAUUAAAAAAUACUAAAAUAGUAAAUAAUUAUUUAUUGAAACUUAAAUAAUUUGGCGGUAUUUUAGUUCAUUUAGAGGAAUCUGUUUAUUAAUUGAUAAUCCACGAAUAAUUUUACUUAAUUUUAUAAUUUUGUAUAUCGUUGUUAAAAAAAUAUUUUUAAAAAAAUUUAAUAUUUUAAAAUUUAUAUUAAAAAUUAAAUCAGAUCAAGAUGCAGAUUAUAAUUAAGAAUAUAAUGGAUUACAAUAAAUUUAUUUAAAUGAAUAUUAAAUUGAAAAAUUUAAUUGAAAGUGGAUUUAAAUGUAAUUUUAUUUAAUUUAAUAAAAUGAUUAAAAAUUUAAAAUAUGUACAUAUUGCCCGUCGCUUUCAUUAAUAAAUUGAAAUAAGUCGUAACAAAGUAGGGGUACUGGAAAGUGUUCCUAGAAAGAU